rnacentral:lncRNA from 1 species
GGGGCAUGUGUCGAAGGAAAACAUGGACGUAUACCAUCAGAAUCUGGAAGAAUGGCGUAUCCAAGCUCCCGGGUUGGCGCAUUAUUGCUCCCAUCCUGGUCGGGGAGAAGAUAAUAUCGCCGCUGAGGCAGCCGAGCUCAUGUUGCUUACGUGGCACUGCAGAAUGUCGUGCAGCCUUCAACUCAAGUGAUAAAUGGCGCACGGGCCGCACGACAUACCACAGAAUGUCGCGCAGCCGUCUAUUUAAGCGAUAGAUGGCCACCAAAUAUAAUACGGCAUGCACCAUUUGCCACCAAGAUAGUAAUUUGGCGGUAAGAAGUUGAUAAUUUCAUUCAAAUUAUCCGGAUUCGAAACACGCGGACGUCGAUUAAAUUAGAAGACCAGAUACCACACGUCCAGGAUAUGCUUUCCUUCCAUUUGUACCAAGAUGGCAUUGGAAUGACAUACCCACACAUAAGACGAUGAGCCCAUGGAUCGGAAAUGGCAUGCAAAAUCUGCGACCUGUAUCGAAUAUUUACUGAUGGAAGAAGAGCCCAGUGAGGACUGCUACGCGGAAGGUCCCGG